GACAGAGGGUGCAAACGUUGUUCGGAAUUACUGGGCGUAAAGCGCGUGUAGGCUGCUUCAUAAGUCGGGUGUGAAAGCCCUGGGCUCAACCUAGGAAGUGCACUCGAAACUGCGAAGCUUGAGUCCUGGAGAGGAAGGCGGAAUUCUCGGUGUAGAGGUGAAAUUCGUAGAUAUCGAGAGGAACACCGGUGGCGAAGGCGACCAUCUGGACGGAUACUGACGCUGAGACGCGAAAGCGUGGGUAGCAAACAGG
rnacentral:rRNA from 1 species